rnacentral:rRNA from 3 species
AGUGACGAAAAAUAACGAUACGGGACUCAUCCGAGGCCCCGUAAUCGGAAUGAGUACACUCUAAACCCUUUAACGAGGAUCAAUUGGAGGGCAAGUCUGGUGCCAGCAGCCGCGGUAAUUCCAGCUCCAAUAGCGUAUAUUAAAGUUGUUGCGGUUAAAAAGCUCGUAGUCGAAUCUGUGUCCCGCGCCGCCGGUUCAUCGUUCGCGGUGUUAACUGGCGUGCCGCGGGACGUCCUGCCGGUGGGCUUAGCUCGCGAGGGCGGCCCAACUCAAUCCCGCCGCGGUGCUCUUCAUUGAGUGUCGAGGUGGGCCGGCACGUUUACUUUGAACAAAUUAGAGUGCUUAAAGCAGGCUAAAACUUCGCCUGAAUACUGUGUGCAUGGAAUAAUGGAAUAGGACCUCGGUUCUAUUUUGUUGGUUUUAGGAACCCCGAGGUAAUGAUUAAUAGGAACGGAUGGGGGCAUUCGUAUUGCGACGUUAGAGGUGAAAUUCUUGGAUCGUCGCAAGACGGACAGAAGCGAAAGCAUUUGCCAAAAACGCUUUCAUUGAUCAAGAACGAAAGUUAGAGGUUCGAAGGCGAUCAGAUACCGCCCUAGUUCUAACCAUAAACGAUGCCAGCUAGCGAUCCGCCGACGUUCCUCCGAUGACUCGGCGGGCAGCUUCCGGGAAACCAAAGCUUUUGGGUUCCGGGGGAAGUAUGGUUGCAAAGCUGAAACUUAAAGGAAUUGACGGAAGGGCACCACCAGGAGUGGAGCCUGCGGCUUAAUUU